UUCCGGUUGAUCCUGCCGGAGGCCAUUGCUAUCGGAGUCCGAUUUAGCCAUGCUAGUUGUGCGGGUUUAGACCCGCAGCGGAACGCUCAGUAACACGUGGCCAAGCUACCCUGUGGCCGGGAAUACUCUCGGGCAACUGAGGCUAAGCCCCGAUAACGCUUUGCUCCUGGAACGGGCAAAGCCGGAAACGCUCCGGCGUCACAGGGUGCGGCUGCGGCCGAUUAGGUAGACGGUUGGGUAACGGCCCACCGUGCCCAUAAUCGGUACGGGUUGUGAGAGCAAGAGCCCGGAGACGGGAUCUGAGACAAGAUUCCGGGCCCUAUGGGGCGCAGCAGGCGAGAAACCUUUACACUGUACGAAAGUGCGAUAAGGGAACUCCGAGUGUGAAGGCAUAGAGUCUUCACUUUCGUACACCGUAAGGUGGUGCACGAAUAAGGACUAGGCAAGACCGGUGCCAGUCGCCGCGGUAAUACAGGCAGUCCGAGUGAUGGCCGAUCUUAGUGGGCCUAAAGCGUCCGUAUCUGGCUGAACACGUCCGUUGGGAAAUCUGUCCGCUUAACGGGCAGGCGUCCAGCGGAAACUGUUCAGCUUGGGACCGGAAGACCUGAGGGGUACGUCUGGGGUAGGAGUGAACUCCUGUAAUCCUGGGCGGACCGCCGGUGGCGAAAGCGCCUCAGGAGACCGGAUCCGACAGUGAGGGACGAAAGCUAGGGUCUCGAACCGAAUUAGAUACCCGGUUAGUCCUAGCUGUAAACGAUGUCUGCUAGGUGUGGCGCAGGCUACGAGCCUACGCUGUGCCGUAUGGAAGCCGAGAAGCGGACCGCCUGGGGAGUACGUCUGCAAGGAUGAAACUUAAAGGAAUUGGCGGGGGAGCACUACAACCGGAGGAGCCUGCGGUUUAAUUGGACUCAAAGCCGGACAUCUCACCAGCCCAGACAGUAGUAAUGACGGUCAGGUUGAUGACCUUAUCCGAGGCUACUGAGAGGAGGUGCAUGGCCGCCGUCAGCUCGUACCGUGAGGCGUCCUGUUAAGUCAGGCAACGAGCGAGACCCGCACUCCUAAUCGCCAGCAGUACCCUUUUGGUAGCUGGGUACAUUAGGUGGACUGACGCUGCCAAAGCGGAGGAAGGAACGGGCAACGGUAGGUCAGUAUGCCCCGAAUGGGCUGGGCAACACGCGGGCUACAAUGGUCGAGACAAUGGAAAGCCACUCCGAGAGGAGGCGCUAAUUUCCUAAGCUCGAUCGUAGUUCGGAUUGAAGGCUGAAGCUCGCCCUCAUGAAGCUGGAUUCGGUAGUAAUCGCGUGUCAGCAGCGCGCGGUGAAUACGUCCCUGCUCCUUGCACACACCGCCUGUCAAAUCACCCGAGUGGGGCUCGGAUGAGGUCGGCAUGCGCUGGUCAAAUCUGGGCUCCGCAAGGGGUAUUAAGUCGUAGCAAGGUAGCCGUAAGGGAAUCUGCGGCUGGAUCAUCUC
rnacentral:rRNA from 1 species